GUGACUUUUCCAGGAUUAACUAACUGGGCAACGGUCCACUGGUAACACACGCAGGUGAUACACACACCGUGACUUUUCCAGGAUUAACUAACUGGGCAACGGUCCACUGGUAACACACGCAGGUGAUACACACACCGUGACUUUUCCAGGAUUAACUAACUGGGCAACGGUCCACUGGUAACACACGCAGGUGAUACACACACCGUGACUUUUCCAGGAUUAACUAACUGGGCAACGGUCCACUGGUAACACACGCAGGUGAUACACACACCGUGACUUUUCCAGGAUUAACUAACUGGGCAACGGUCCACUGGUAACACACGCAGGUGAUACACACACCGUGACUUUUCCAGGAUUAACUAACUGGGCAACGGUCCACUGGUAACACACGCAGGUGAUACACACACCGUGACUUUUCCAGGAUUAACUAACUGGGCAACGGUCCACUGGUAACACACGCAGGUGAUACACACACCGUGACUUUUCCAGGAUUAACUAACUGGGCAACGGUCCACUGGUAACACACGCAGGUGAUACACACACCGUGACUUUUCCAGGAUUAACUAACUGGGCAACGGUCCACUGGUAACACACGCAGGUGAUACACACACCGUGACUUUUCCAGGAUUAACUAACUGGGCAACGGUCCACUGGUAACACACGCAGGUGAUACACACACCGUGACUUUUCCAGGAUUAACUAACUGGGCAACGGUCCACUGGUAACACACGCAGGUGAUACACACACCGUGACUUUUCCAGGAUUAACUAACUGGGCAACGGUCCACUGGUAACACACGCAGGUGAUACACACACCGUGACUUUUCCAGGAUUAACUAACUGGGCAACGGUCCACUGGUAACACACGCAGGUGAUACACACACCGUGACUUUUCCAGGAUUAACUAACUGGGCAACGGUCCACUGGUAACACACGCAGGUGAUACACACACCGUGACUUUUCCAGGAUUAACUAACUGGGCAACGGUCCACUGGUAACACACGCAGGUGAUACACACACCGUGACUUUUCCAGGAUUAACUAACUGGGCAACGGUCCACUGGUAACACACGCAGGUGAUACACACACCGUGACUUUUCCAGGAUUAACUAACUGGGCAACGGUCCACUGGUAACACACGCAGGUGAUACACACACCGUGACUUUUCCAGGAUUAACUAACUGGGCAACGGUCCACUGGUAACACACGCAGGUGAUACACACACCGUGACUUUUCCAGGAUUAACUAACUGGGCAACGGUCCACUGGUAACACACGCAGGUGAUACACACACCGUGACUUUUCCAGGAUUAACUAACUGGGCAACGGUCCACUGGUAACACACGCAGGUGAUACACACACCGUGACUUUUCCAGGAUUAACUAACUGGGCAACGGUCCACUGGUAACACACGCAGGUGAUACACACACCGUGACUUUUCCAGGAUUAACUAACUGGGCAACGGUCCACUGGUAACACACGCAGGUGAUACACACACCGUGACUUUUCCAGGAUUAACUAACUGGGCAACGGUCCACUGGUAACACACGCAGGUGAUACACACACCGUGACUUUUCCAGGAUUAACUAACUGGGCAACGGUCCACUGGUAACACACGCAGGUGAUACACACACCGUGACUUUUCCAGGAUUAACUA